GGGUGAGAGAGUAAAAAUGUCAUUUUCGGAAAAAAAAAAUAAAAAAAAUUUAAUGGCAUUUUCGUGAAUAUUAUGAACUUGUGGGGUAAAUAGAACAAAAGAAAAAUCCAAAAAAAACAUGGGUUAGUUUUAGAUUUGACUUUGAGUUUUGAGUCAAUCUUGCAAAAAAACCUAAUUUCAUAACAGAUACAAAUAAAAAAAGGGCAAAUCUCCAAAAUAGCACCUUUCUAAGUUUAUAUCACAAAAAUAGCACUCAAAAACUAAAACGACCAAAAUAGCACAUUUCUAAGUUUAUCCUUUGAAAAUUUUAAUUUUUUUAUUUUUCAAAAUUUGAAAUCUUAUCCCCAAAACCUCAUUUCUCAACUCUAAACCCUAAACCUUAAACUCUAAACCCUAAACCCUAAACUCUAAAUCUUAAACCCUAAACCCUAAACCCUAAACUCUAAACCUUAAACCCUAAACUUUAAACCCUAAACCCUAAACCCUAAACCCUAAAC
rnacentral:lncRNA from 1 species